rnacentral:rRNA from 1 species
AUGCAUGAUACUAACUUAUGUUACCACUCAUUACAACCAGCCUUAGGUAGCUUAGCUAGGAGGACGAAACUAGUACGUGGGUACUUGAUCUGCUUCAGCAGUUCUAGCAGGAAAAUGCACGAGAAAUCGCAUACUUGCUGCUCGAUCCUCACUUCACUCCAAGGAAAUCCGGGAGAAGGGCCGCCCGAGGCUCGGCGUCCCGAUGCGGCGGCGCACCCUGGCCAUGGCCAUCGCCACCGCCACGGAGCGGUCUGGCCCCGCCGGCGGAGGGAAGAAGCCGGUGUGCCGCUUGCACGCCAGGGCCCGGCGCUUGUGCCGGUACGCGCGGUCGAGGGCGCCCCGGCCGUGGGAGUGGGACGCGGCCUCGCCGUCGCCGUCCCCGGCCUGGUCGACGCCGGAGCUCCCCGCGCGCUUCCUCUUGGCGCCCGGCGCGGUGGCGACGGCGUAGCUGCCUUGGUCCACGUAAUGCGUGGCCGAGAAGGGGCCAGCCGGGGCCGGAACGGCGUAUUCGUCGACGUCCAUGGCGACGUCGAGCUGGAGCACCUUCAGGAAGAUGUCGAGGUCGGCGCCGGGGCCGGCGAGGCGCUCGAGCGCGUCGACGGCGUCGGUGAGGCGGUCGACCUCGGCGCUGCAGACGAAGAGGGACCUGAGUCCCGCGAGGAACUUCUUGGCGGAGCCGACGACGGCGGAGGGGUCGGUAGUGGCGUCGAGCACCUGCUGCCCGCGCAGCGCCUCCUUCCGCAGCAGCUGCAGCCAGCGGUGGAGGGAGCUGCCCCGCACCGCGGCCCGGGCCUCGGCGGCGUCCGCCACCCCGCGCACCAUCGCCACCAGCUGCCGCAGCCGGCGCCGGCGCUGGCUCACCCGCGAGUUGCCGCCCCAGUUGGACUUGAGGUAGCCGAUGAACUCGCCCAUGAGGGGCGAGUCGAGGAUCUUCAUCGCGGCUCCUGCCCGGCUGUCCCCUCGCGCGAACCCCGACCAGGAUCAGCCGUCGGCGGCGAGGGCUGA